CUUACUGCUUGGGAACUGAUAGUCUAGAGUGAGGGAGAGGCAGAUGGAAUUGGUGGUGUAGGGGUAAAAUCCGUAGAUAUCACCAAGAAUACCCAUUGCGAAGGCGAUCUGCUGGAACUCAACUGACGCUAAGGCGCGAAAGCGUGGGGAGCAAACAGGAUUAGAUACCCUGGUAGUCCACGCCCUAAACGAUGUACACUAGUUGUUGGGGUGCUAGUCAUCUCAGUAAUGCAGCUAACGCAUUAAGUGUACCGCCUGGGGAGUACGGUCGCAAGAUUAAAACUCAAAGGAAUAGACGGGGACCCGCACAAGCGGUGGAGCAUGUGGUUUAAUUCGAAGAUACGCGAAGAACCUUACCUGGGCUUGAUAUCCUAAGAACCUUUUAGAGAUAAGAGGGUGCUAGCUUGCUAGAACUUAGAGACAGGUGCUGCACGGCUGUCGUCAGCUCGUGUCGUGAGAUGUUGGGUUAAGUCCCGCAACGAGCGCAACCCACGUAUUUAGUUGCUAACGGUUCGGCCGAGCACUCUAAAUAGACUGCCUUCGUAAGGAGGAGGAAGGUGUGGACGACGUCAAGUCAUCAUGGCCCUUAUGCCCAGGGCGACACACGUGCUACAAUGGCAUAUACAAUGAGACGCAAUACCGCGAGGUGGAGCAAAUCUAUAAAAUAUGUCCCAGUUCGGAUUGUUCUCUGCAACUCGAGAGCAUGAAGCCGGAAUCGCUAGUAAUCGUAGAUCAGCCAUGCUACGGUGAAUACGUUCCCGGGUCUUGUACUCACCGCCCGUCACACCAUGGGAGUUGAUUUCACUCGAAGCCGGAAUACUAAACAU
rnacentral:rRNA from 1 species